ACUGCUCAGUAACACGUGGCCAAACUACCCUCUGGAGCGCGACAACCUCGGGAAACUGAGGCUAAUCGUGCAUACCGCUCUCACGCUGGAAGUUGCGGAGAGCUCGAAACGCCCCGGCGCCAGAGGAUGUGGCUGCGGCCGAUUAGGUAGACGGUGGGGUAACGGCCCACCGUGCCAGUAAUCGGUACGGGUUGUGAGAGCAAGAGCCCGGAGACGGUAUCUGAGACAAGAUACCGGGCCCUACGGGGCGCAGCAGGCGCGAAACCUUUACACUGCACGCCAGUGCGAUAAGGGGACUCCAAGUGCGAGGGCAUAGAGCCCUCGCUUUUCUGUACCGUAAGGUGGUACAAGAAUAAGUGCUGGGCAAGACCGGUGCCAGCCGCCGCGGUAAUACCGGCAGCACGAGUGAUGGCCGCUCUUAUUGGGCCUAAAGCGUCCGUAGCUGGCCGCGCAAGUCCAUCGGGAAAUCCGCACGCCUAACGUGCGGGCGUCCGGUGGAAACUGCGUGGCUUGGGACCGGAAGAUCCAGAGGGUACGUCCGGGGUAGGAGUGAAAUCCUGUAAUCCUGGACGGACCACCGGUGGCGAAAGCGCUCUGGAAAGACGGAUCCGACGGUGAGGGACGAAAGCUCGGGUCACGAACCGGAUUAGAUACCCGGGUAGUCCGAGCUGUAAACGAUGUCUGCUAGGUGUGCCACAGGCUACGAGCCUGUGGUGUGCCGUAGGGAAGCCGUGAAGCAGACCGCCUGGGAAGUACGUCCACAAGGAUGAAACUUAAAGGAAUUGGCGGGGGAGCAC
rnacentral:rRNA from 1 species